rnacentral:rRNA from 1 species
AGCAGCCGCGGUAAUUCCAGCUCCAAUAGCGUAUAUUAAAGUUGUUGCAGUUAAAAAGCUCGUAGUUGAAUUUCGGGGUUAGUAGAUUGGUCAUGCCUCUGGUAUGCACUGGUCUCACUGAUUCCUCCUUCCUGAUGAGCCGUAAUGCCAUUAAUUUGGUGUUGCGGGGAAUUUGGACUGUUACUUUGAAAAAAUUUAGAGUGUUUAAAGCAGGCUCACGCUUGAAUACAUUAGCAUGGAAUAAUGAAAUAGGACGUUUGAUUCUAUUUUGUUGGUUUCUAGGAUCGACGUAAUGAUUAAUAGGGAUAGUUGGGGGCAUUAGUAUUCAAUUGUCAGAGGUGAAAUUCUUGGAUUUAUUGAAGACUAACUACUGCGAAAGCAUUUGCCAAGGAUGUUUUCAUUAAUCAAGAACGAAAGUUAGGGGAUCGAAGACGAUCAGAUACCGUCGUAGUCUUAACCAUAAACUAUGCCGACUAGGGAUCGGAUGAUGUUAAUUUUUUCAAUGACUCAUUCGGCGCCU